UACGUAGGGGGCAAGCGUUGUCCGGAUUUAUUGGGCGUAAAGAGCGUGUAGGCGGUUUGGUAGGUCCGCUGUGAAAACUCGAGCUCAACCUCGAGACGCCGGUGGAAACCAUCAGACUAGAGUCCGGAAGAGGAGAGUGGAAUUCCUGGUGUAGCGGUGAAAUGCGCAGAUGUCAGGAAGAACACCCGUGGCUAAGGCGGCUCUCUAGUACGGUACUGACGCUGAGACGCGAAAGCGUGGGGAGCGAACAGG
rnacentral:rRNA from 1 species